AUUGAACGCUGGCGGCAGGCCUAACACAUGCAAGUCGAGCGGAUGAAGGGAGCUUGCUCCUGGAUUCAGCGGCGGACGGGUGAGUAAUGCCUAGGAAUCUGCCUGGUAGUGGGGGAUAACGUCCGGAAACGGGCGCUAAUACCGCAUACGUCCUGAGGGAGAAAGUGGGGGAUCUUCGGACCUCACGCUAUCAGAUGAGCCUAGGUCGGAUUAGCUAGUUGGUGGGGUAAAGGCCUACCAAGGCGACGAUCCGUAACUGGUCUGAGAGGAUGAUCAGUCACACUGGAACUGAGACACGGUCCAGACUUCUACGGGAGGCAGCAGUGGGGAAUAUUGGACAAUGGGCGAAAGCCUGAUCCAGCCAUGCCGCGUGUGUGAAGAAGGUCUUCGGAUUGUAAAGCACUUUAAGUUGGGAGGAAGGGCAGUAAGUUAAUACCUUGCUGCUUUGACGUUACCAACAGAAUAAGCACCGGCUAACUUCGUG
rnacentral:rRNA from 1 species